UUUAUUCUGUCAAUUUUUCAUUCUUCUCCUAGGCUUCUUUUGUUUAAAAUAAUUUAGAAUUUGGUGAAUGAUUUUUAGUUCUCACAAGUAAUUCUUUUUCAUAGCUAGCUUUGAACUGGUAACUGCAUUCUCAUUGGAAAACUUCACUUUCUAGUUUAUAAGCAUUCAGUUAGUUUUAGAAAUCUCAAUGUGCAUUUUCUGUAUUCAACUAAUGGACAGCGAUGUUGGGUUUAGGUUAACAGGUAUUUCUGUGCUAUCUCACGUAUUUUUUGUUUUUUUUCUUUCCUUCUAGAGUUGGUACCAAAUUAAAUCGGUAGUUCGCUACAAAAGGCACGAAUGCAUCAGAAGUUUGUUGUUUGAUUAGAUCUGAAUGAUCACUCUAUUGUUACCACAGGAGCUUCUGUUGUGGAAAAGGAUGAUGUUUUGAAGGGGGGUUUUGGUGGGAGUAAAGCGUAUGGUGAUUUAUCAAAAUGUGGGAAGCCUGCUAUGACUGAGGAAUCAUCACAAAAGCAACAGCCUUCUGACAUUGACGAAAGUAAUAUCAAAAGGAAAGGAGGGGUUGUUACAGAGGAAGAUAUAGCAGAUGAAGAUUCUGAUUAUGAUUAUGAUUUUUUUGAUGAACAUGUCGUGAAGAGGUCUGAUCCAACUGAGGAAGAAAUCUUGGAGAUUAUGGCGCACGAGCACGAUCAUAGGAUCGAGAUGUAUUGAAUUACAGGAAAAGGCUUUGAAGGGGGAGUAUGCAUUUCAGAAUCCAGCUGAUUCUCCACUUUUCAUGUUGGCCCUGGGAGGAGGAAUUUGAGAGCAAGCCGAUGGAUGUAUCAGAGUUGUUGGAAAUAUUAGAUUCAUUGAAAGAAUUAGGAGAAGUUGAUGGAACAUAUGAGUGUGUAGAUGCAGCAACAGUUCUUGGCUAAAGCAGCCUUCAGGGAGGGGGUUGGCUUUUUUAAUUGAGCAGAGUUCGAUCUGGUUAUUGUUUCUUUUGGUUUUUAGUUAACUUGACAUCUGAAGGUAGAACUCUGUAUUCCAAAACUAUAUGGUGAUGAAUGUUUGUUUUGUUCAAUUCACAUGAGUAAUUGUCUUAUUUGUUGAUCAACUCGAUUAAUGGUGUAUCUGAUUAUAAAUUGCAGUUCAUAAUUUUCUGUGUUGCCUUGUAUUAUCAAUAAAAUUUGUGUAUAAAUUACACACA